ensembl:lncRNA
AACUCAUGUCUAUCGUGGCAUAGGCAAAAGCGGUAUGGAUAUGGGGUGUGUUCUUGGAGCUAGUUUAAGCUGUCAGGCUGCUGGGUAUCUGAUUUUAAACAGGCCUAUAAUUUAGUACUUUGAGUAAUUAGAUUGUUCUAACUGCCAAUAAAGUAUACCUCAGCUUGCCGACACUUAAAGUGGCUAUGAGAAAUUAAUUUCACCCUCAGGUUUGUUGGCUCUCAACCCAUGAGGUUUCUCGCAGAACAAACAUCAGGUACAUGAGGUUUCUUGCAGAACAAAAAUGAGGUCCAUAGAUUAAUUUUAAAUAUGGCAAGUUUCUCGUUAUGUGUGGAAAGAGUGCCUGUUUGUUCUGUAUAACUGAGGACCAGUUAUCGAGCGUUGCGUAACAUGCAAUGCCUCAUUUUAUGACGAUUCCUGUAGAACCCCCUCUGCUUUGCUCCUUGAAACUAACUUACUACUUCUUUUCUUCUAGAUGAUGUCAGCUGGUAGAAUCUUCGAGGAUCGCACCGAACAGAUGUCCAUCUGAGGAUACCCAAAUUAUCCAUAUAUCAGACCGAAAGGCGCAGUUGCGUAGCAGUUGAGUUUUGCUGGUUAGCUGUUAAGGUGGCGUUGCGGUGCAGAGUGCUUGGCUGUUUCCAGUAUUCUCCUGAUUGCUCCUGUGUAACGCCUUGAUUUGAUUUUCUUUCAAUUUUGGCUGCAGCAUUUAUUCUUUUUGCAGAAAGAUCCUGUGCAAGUCCUUUUGUGAAAACUUAUUAUAAGGCAGAUAUCUGAGCUUAUUUCACAUCUCCGGAAGAGUUCUAUCAUUUGUGAUAUGCUCACUUGGUCAUAAUUUUCAUGUGAAUAAUAAAAGGUUUUCUUUCUCUGAGCAUGGCUGAUUUGAUGUAUACCUAAUUUUUACUAGUUUUUUCAGUGUCUUUUAUGUUUGGUGUUAAAGAAGCAAAUUAAACUCAUUAACUGGAAAUAAAUUGUGCGUUGAUACAAAGUAUUGGUAUCAUGUGUGACAUCGUUCAUGGAUUCAUACUCGAUGGCUUUUGGUGAGACUUUAAAAUCUGAAGUUUUAUUCCAAAGUAAAUUUGUCAUCAAGACUUACUAAACAUUUUUACUUGGAUGUGUACAAACAUGAUUGACUGAAAAAUGUUACUCGGGUCUUAAAACAAAAGGCAAAAUAAAUUCGUAAUGACCUAUUAAAGUCAGUAUGAAGUUAAGU